rnacentral:rRNA from 2 species
UACGUAGGGUGCAAGCGUUGUCCGGAAUUAUUGGGCGUAAAGAGCUCGUAGGCGGUUUGUCGCGUCGGCUGUGAAAACCUGGGGCUCAACCCCGGGCCUGCAGUCGAUACGGGCAAACUAGAGUGCGGUAGGGGAGACUGGAAUUCCUGGUGUAGCGGUGAAAUGCGCAGAUAUCAGGAGGAACACCGGUGGCGAAGGCGGGUCUCUGGGCCGUAACUGACGCUGAGGAGCGAAAGCGUGGGGAGCGAACAGG